rnacentral:lncRNA from 1 species
GCGGGAGGCGCCCCUCUGCUGCUCCUGUCCCUGCUCUCCCACGCCUCCGGUCUCCUCCCUGCUGCAGCAGCACCUGCAGCAGCAGCACCUGCAGCAGCAGCAGCAGCGGCCCUUAUCAGGCCCCCUCCUCCCUGUCCCUUCCCCCUCCUACCCCUUUCCCUUCCCGUUCCCUCCUCCACCCCUUCCCCAUCCCCUCCCUCCUCCCUCCUCCCCGCCCCUGCCUCCUCCCUCUUCCCUCCUCCCUCCUCCCUCCUCCACCGCGCAGACCGCCCAGCUCAGCAAGUCCUGCGGCAAAGGCACUUCGGCGCCCAGUUGUUGCCCGGGCGCAGCGCCGACUCGGCCAGGGGACGGACGCCCCUGCUCAACCGCAGCCCGUCGCCCUCACCUCCGGCCGGGCCUCUCCUGCCUGGUGGCGCCCGGUCUCCUCGAGUUGGUGGUGCCUCCGCGUUUCUCCAGCUCCUGGCACACAGUGGGUGCUUGUCUGAGUCAGGAAGGGGAGGAGGCAGUCAGAAGUCAGGUCAUACGGCAACCUCAUCAUGCUCCCUUCACCGUCUGCCCAGCUACCAGGUUUUCCCUCUGCCCACCGCAUCCCAGGCCCAGAGGUCCAGGUGGAGAGUGGAAAAUGCCUUCGUUCAGCUUACGUCCCAGAGAACAUCUGGCGAUUACGAGACCCGGGUACCCGAGCUGCUCGCCUCGCUCUUGGGUUGGGUGACCGGGCUCUGUAUUUUUAAGACCUGUUUCUUUGCUUUUCUGCAGUUUCUCUAUGACAUGUCUAGAUGUGAAUUUCUUUUUAUUUUUUCUGCUUGGGCUUUGUUGGUGUUCUUGAAUCUGUGGAUUGAUAUCUUUUAUCAGCUCUGGAUAUCUUUUUUAGCCUUUCUCUCUCAAACAUUGCCUUUGCCCCUUUCUCUCUGUUUUUUCUUACUGUAAAUCCAAUUAAAUAUAUGUUUUCUUCUCACUGUAUCCUCUAAGUCUUUUGCCCUUUCUUUUGCAUUUGCCCAGUUUUUGCCACUGUGUGCUGGAUCAUUUCUUCAGAUCUUCCAGUUCAUUAAUCUCCUCUUCAACUGUGUUAAACCCACGGUUAAAUCUGCCCAUCAAAUUUAUUUUCAGUUGUUGCAUUUAUCAGUUAUGAGCUUUAUAUUUCACUCUUUCAAAAAGAUUAUAUGGCACUUUCUCUCGUUCCCUGUGAAAUUUUCAAGGUUGUUUUUUAUCCACCUGAAUAUCGAAAAUGUAGUUGUUUUAUAAUCAGCAUCAGCUAAUCCCAGCGUCUGGAGUGCCAGGGUCUCUCUGUCAUCUGUUGUUCCUGCCUCACUCAUGGCCUCUUUUGUCCUGUGCACUCAACUUUCUUCAGUUGUGUGCUGAGCACUGUGUUUGACAGAUGGGCCGCUAUCUUCGCCCAGAGAAGACUUUGUUUACUUCUGCAGGGUGUCUGGGGCACCUUAACUCAAGUUCAAGGCUUACAUUUUCCAUAACCAGAGUGAAGAGUCAGACCAGAAGUCCAGCCGACCUCUUUCUUUUUUCUGAAAUGCAUAUAAAGGAUGGGACCCUUUGGGGUCUGGUUUAAAACAAUAGGUAGUUUAUCCAAGUCCCCACUUCGGUGGCCCUGGACCUUGACUUUGAUUUCCCCGACCCUCGGAGGCUGCUGAAGGGGCCGAGGGCCGCAGCUCAAUUUUUCAGCAGUCUCUCUCUGGUGGACAGAUGCCCUCAGGGCGGAAGUGGCUGUGCUUCUGGACUUACAUCUCUGGGUUUUUGUUGUCUUCUAGAUGUUGGCCAGGGUUUCCUCAUUAGCCUGAUAGGUCUUUAAUGCUUUUAAGAUGGUUUUUGUACUUUCUAAAGCUUUUGCUAGUUGUCUUCACUGGGAGGGUUGGUCUUAAUUACCUCAUUUCCUUUUACUAAAAGUGGCGCUCUCUGUUCUGACCUGUGCAUGCUU